GAGUUUGAUAUUGUCUCUGGGCGUGCGCGGUCGGCGCACGUAUUACACGCACGUGUAGCGGAGUUUCUCAUUGGAGAUAAGUUUAGCGGUGAAGGGUUGAGUAACAGUUAGUCAUCUUGCGCAUUCGCCUCGAUUGAGUACGAUAAAUGGUAGCUCUUCAGCAUAUUCCCUUUCCUUGCGCUGAGGAUAAGGAUGGGAGGCGGUCGCACUCUGUUGCUAUGGGAUGGGCCUGGGGCGCAUUAGCUAGUUGGUGAGGUAACGGCUCACCUAGGCGACGAUGCGUAGCUGAUCUGAGAGGGUGACCGGCCACACUGGGACUGAGACACGGUCCAGACUCCUACGGGAGGCAGCAGUAGGGAAUAUUCCGCAAUGGGCGCAAGCCUGAUGGAGCCAUGCCGCGUGUGUGAUGAAGGUUUUCGGAUUGUAAAGUUUUGUUUGCCAGGGAAGAAGGUCUGGUAGUUGUAUACUGCUCCCGGAGUGACGGUACUCUGCAGAAGAAAGCCCCGGCUAACUACGUGCCAGCAGCCGCGGUAAUACGUAGGGGGCAAGCGUUGUUCGGAAUUAUUGGGCGUAAAGCGCGCGCAGGCGGUUAUUUAAGUCUGGUGUUUAAUCCUUGGGCUCAACCUGAGGUCGCCCUGGAAAAUGGGCGGGUUGGGUUCUGAUGAGGAAAGUGGAAUUUCCAGUGUAGCGGUGAAAUGGGUUGGGAAUUGGAAGAACUCCAGUGGGGAAGGGGGCUUUCUGGGCUGUAACUGACGCUGAGGCGCGAAAGCGUGGGGAGCAAACAGGAUUAGAUACCCUGGUAGUCCACGCCGUAAACGAUGAGUGCUAGGUGUUAGGGGUUUCGAUACCCUUGGUGCCGAAAUUAACACAGUAAGCACUCCGCCUGGGGAGUACGGUCGCAAGACUGAAACUCAAAGGAAUUGACGGGGACCCGCACAAGCAGUGGAGUAUGUGGUUUAAUUCGAAGCAACGCGAAGAACCUUACCAGGUCUUGACAUCCCUCUGAAUCCUCUAGAGAUAGGGGCGGCCUUCGGGACAGAGGAGACAGGUGGUGCAUGGUUGUCGUCAGCUCGUGUCGUGAGAUGUUGGGUUAAGUCCCGCAACGAGCGCAACCCUUGACUUUAGUUGCCAGCAGGUAAGGCUGGGCACUCUAGAGUGACUGCCGGUGACAAACCGGAGGAAGGUGGGGAUGACGUCAAAUCAUCAUGCCCCUUAUGACCUGGGCUACACACGUACUACAAUGGCCGGUACAACGGGAAGCGAAGCCGCGAGGUGGAGCCAAUCCCAGCAAAGUCGGUCUCAGUUCGGAUUGCAGGCUGCAACUCGCCUGCAUGAAGUCGGAAUUGCUAGUAAUCGCGGAUCAGCAUGCCGCGGUGAAUACGU
rnacentral:rRNA from 1 species